ACUAAGGGGCAAAUUAAGAGAAAUUUGGUUAAAAAUGGUUAAGUGAAAGCUUAUUUAUCAUUAAAGUCUGUACUAAUAAAGGGUGAAAUCGAUUUUUUAGUGGGUAGAUUGUUUGGGGGUAAGUUAGUUCUGAAGCUGUUAAGGUAAAGGUAUGGACCAGGAUUAGAUACCCUGUUACUCUUUACUUUAAAUGAAAAUACCUGGGUAUUAAACAGUUAUUGUCUUGAAACUCAAAGGAUUUGGCGGUAAUCUAGUCUAUUUAGAGGAACCUGUCCUGUAAUCGAUAAACCACGCAAAAUCUUACCUUAUUUUGUAAAUUCAGUUUGUAUACCGUCAUUAUUAGGUAACUCUAAAAAGAAUCAGUUACUGUAAUAAGUUUUUUCUUAGUAUAUUAGAUCAAGGUGCAGCUAAUAAUGAGGUAGAGAUGGGUUACAAUAUGAUAGAUGUAAACGGAUUAAAAAGUUAUAACUUUUUAUUAAGGUGGAUUUAAUAGUAAAGGAGUUUUAAUAAGACUUCUCGAUUCUAGCUCUAGGUUAUGUACACAUCGCC
rnacentral:rRNA from 1 species